rnacentral:rRNA from 1 species
AACGUAGGGGGCGAGCGUUGUCCGGAAUUACUGGGCGUAAAGGGCGCGUAGGCGGUUUACUAAGUCUUAUGGUGAAAACUAUCGGCUCAACCGGUAGCGUGCCUGAGAAACUGGUAGACUUGAGGGCAGGAGAGGGGAGUGGAAUUCCCAGUGUAGCGGUGAAAUGCGUAGAUAUUGGGAGGAACACCAGUGGCGAAGGCGGCUCUCUGGCCUGUUACUGACGCUGAGGCGCGAAAGCGUGGGGAGCGAACGGGAUUAGAUACCCCGGUAGUCCACGCCGUAAACGAUGGGUGCUAGGUGUAGGAGGUAUCGACCCCUUCUGUGCCGUAGUUAACACAAUAAGCACCCCGCCUGGGGAGUACGGCCGCAAGGUUGAA